GGACCCCACUGCUAUCGGGAUAGGACUAAGACAUGCUAGUUGAGCGCUUCCAGCUAACACGGGAGCGCAGCGCACAGCUCAGUAACACGUGGCUAAUCUGCCCUUKGGACCGGAACACCCCCGGGAAACUGGGGCUAAUUCUCGAUAGGUGAAGAACUCUGGAAUGAGUCUUUGCCAAAAAGACGUUUACGUUAUGCUCGUAGACGUCGCCCAAGGAUGAGGCCGCGACCGAUCAGGUUGUUGGUGAGGUAAUGGCUCACCAAGCCUUUUACCGGUGCGGGCCGUGAGAGCGGGAGCCCGGAGAUGGGUACUGAGACACGGACCCAGGCCCUAUGGGGCGCAGCAGGCGAGAAAACUUUGCAAUGUGCGAAAGCACGACAAGGUUAAUCCGAGUKGUUUCUGCUAAAGAAACCUUUUGCCAGUCCUAGAAACACUGGUGAAUAAGGGGUGGGCAAGUUCUGGUGUCAGCCGCCGCGGUAAAACCAGCACCUCAAGUGGUCAGGAUGAUUAUUGGGCCUAAAGCAUCCGUAGCUCGUUUUGUAAGUUUUCGGUUAAAUCCAUGCGCUCAACGUAUGGGCUGCCGGGAAUACUGCAUAACUAGGAAGUGGGAGAGGUAGACGGUACUCGGUAGGAAGGGGUAAAAUCCUUUGAUCUAUUGAUGACCACCUGUGGCGAAGGCGGUCUACCAGAACACGUUCGACGGUGAGGGAUGAAAGCUGGGGGAGCAAACCGGAUUAGAUACCCGGGUAGUCCCAGCUGUAAACUAUGCAAACUCAGUGAUGCAUUGGCUUGUGGCAAUGCAGUGCUGCAGGGAAGCGUUAAGUUUGCCGCUGGGAAGUACGUACGMARUAUGAAACUUAAAGGAUUUGSGGGGRGCAC
rnacentral:rRNA from 1 species